ensembl:lncRNA
GGACGAAUAAAAGGGACAAAUUAUAUCACAGUAGAAAGUAACUCAGUCAUCAUUCAGGAAACUGGACAUGGAGUGAAGGUCACUGUAACAGCAGACAGCACAACUAUACCAGCAGGGGGCAGUGUGACACUGACCUGUGAUGUGAAACACUCUGCUGACUUAAAAUAUGAGUGGGUCAGAGAAACCUCAUCUGCAGUGAAGUCCACAGAAGCUGUUGGAUCAGAUAAAGUGAUCAAGAUCUCUAAAGGAGGAAAAUACCAAUGCAGAGGAUGGAGAACAGACACAACUUCACUCAUAGCACAAAGUGAUCCAGUCACCAUUCAGGAAACUGUUACUGGGUGAUCAGACCUCUGUACUGGUGUUAGUGACUCAGUCCUGGUAGAAAACUGGUCACAGGUUUCACUGACUGCACACAGACACUCAGACAUGGCAAAGCUCCUGAUAAGCUAAGACAUGGUCACAACCUGUGAAGCAAUGAAUUCUUUAAACAUUUCAUUGAUACAAUAAUGGUGCA